rnacentral:rRNA from 1 species
AGUCGAGCGGUAGCACAGGGGAGCUUGCUCCCUGGGUGACGAGCGGCGGACGGGUGAGUAAUGUCUGGGAAACUGCCUGAUGGAGGGGGAUAACUACUGGAAACGGUAGCUAAUACCGCAUAACGUCGCAAGACCAAAGAGGGGGACCUUCGGGCCUCUUGCCAUCAGAUGUGCCCAGAUGGGAUUAGCUAGUAGGUGGGGUAAUGGCUCACCUAGGCGACGAUCCCUAGCUGGUCUGAGAGGAUGACCAGCCACACUGGAACUGAGACACGGUCCAGACUCCUACGGGAGGCAGCAGUGGGGAAUAUUGCACAAUGGGCGCAAGCCUGAUGCAGCCAUGCCGCGUGUGUGAAGAAGGCCUUCGGGUUGUAAAGCACUUUCAGCGAGGAGGAAGGUGGUGAGCUUAAUACGUUCAUCAAUUGACGUUACUCGCAGAAGAAGCACCGGCUAACUCCGUGCCAGCAGCCGCGGUAAUACGGAGGGUGCAAGCGUUAAUCGGAAUUACUGGGCGUAAAGCGCACGCAGGCGGUUUGUUAAGUCAGAUGUGAAAUCCCCGGGCUCAACCUGGGAACUGCAUUUGAAACUGGCAAGCUAGAGUCUCGUAGAGGGGGGUAGAAUUCCAGGUGUAGCGGUGAAAUGCGUAGAGAUCUGGAGGAAUACCGGUGGCGAAGGCGGCCCCCUGGAC